ensembl:lncRNA
CGGUCCGACUCGAACGAGUCCCCCGACAGGGCCCCGAGAGAGGCGGCACGACAUGCCCCCGCCUCGUCCACGGUGUCCCUUCCCCCGGGGACCCCGGACACGUUGACGGGCUCCGAGCAGGCCCCUCCGCCAGACGAGGAGGAGUCUCCGCCCCUCAUAGACUUCACCGACUACCCCCUGGCCGACGGGGGAGGACCCGGCAAGGGAGGACAGUUCGCCACCGCCCAGCUGGAGGACGACGCCCUCCGCCACGCCUGGGGACACGUCCAGGUCCACGAGGGCCUCUCGCGGGACUCGUCCAUGCUCAAAAAGGUCAUGGAAGCCGAUGGGAAGAACUGGGACCAGCUGCUUCCGCAUGUCCUAUUCGCCGUUCGAGAGGUGCCCCAGGCCUCCACGGGAUUCUCGCC